rnacentral:rRNA from 1 species
CCUACGGGUGGCAGCAGUGAGGAAUAUUGGUCAAUGGGCGAGAGCCUGAACCAGCCAAGUCGCGUGAGGGAAGACGGUCCUAUGGAUUGUAAACCUCUUUUUGUGGGGAGCAAAAAGCGGUACGUGUACCGCAUCGAGAGUACCCGGAGAAAAAGCAUCGGCUAACUCCGUGCCAGCAGCCGCGGUAAUACGGAGGAGGCGAGCGUUAUCCGGAUUUAUUGGGUUUAAAGGGUGCGCAGGCGGUCUUGUAAGUCAGGGGUGAAAGGCCGGGGCUCAACCCCCGGCCCGCGGUGGAACCGGGCAGUCUCGAGUGGGAGAGAGGUAUGCGGAAUGCGCGGUGUAGCGGUGAAAUGCGUAGAUAUCGGGCAGAACUCCGAUUGCGAAGGCAGCAUGCCGGCUCCACACUGACGCUGAGGCACGAAAGCGUGGGUAUCGAACAGGAUUAGAUACCCGUGUAGUC